AAAGCAGUAGCUCAAUGGAUAGAGCAUCAGAUAUUGGUUUCGCAAUUACCGGCGAGCGGUCAAACAAAACCUACUUCUCAUGGGACCUGAGGGUUGCUGGUUCGAGCCCAGCCUGCUUUU
rnacentral:tRNA from 1 species